UCACUGCUAUCGGGGUUCGAUUAAGCCAUGCGAGUCGAGAGGGUUCGGCCCUCGGCGUAUUACUCAGUAACACGUGGAUAACCUGCCCUAAGGAAGGGGAUAACCUCGGGAAACUGAGGAUAAUACCCUAUAGGUUACAGACGCUGGAAUGCCCUGUAACCGAAAGUUCCGGCGCCUUAGGAUGGAUCUGCGGCCGAUUAGGUUGUUGUUGGGGUAACGGCCCAACAAGCCGAUAAUCGGUACGGGUUGUGGGAGCAAGAGCCCGGAGUUGGAUUCUGAGACACGAAUCCAGGCCCUACGGGGCGCAGCAGGCGCGAAAACUUUACAAUGCGGGAAACCGUGAUAAGGGAACCUCGAGUGCCUGUAUAUGCAGGCUGUCCAGGUGUCUAAAAAACACCUGAAGAAAGGGCCGGGCAAGACCGGUGCCAGCCGCCGCGGUAAUACCGGCGGCUCGAGUGGUGGCCACUUUUAUUGGGCUUAAAGCGUUCGUAGCUGGGUUGUUAAGUCUCUUGGGAAAUCUGGCGGCUUAACCGUCAGGCGUCCAAGGGAUACUGGCAAUCUUGGAACCGGGAGAGGUGAGGGGUACUUCGGGGGUAGGAGUGAAAUCCUGUAAUCCUCGAGGGACCACCUGUGGCGAAGGCGCCUCACCAGAACGGCUUCGACAGUGAGGGACGAAAGCUGGGGGAGCAAACCGGAUUAGAUACCCGGGUAGUCCCAGCCCUAAACGAUGCGCGUUAGGUGUAUCGGUGACCACGAGUCACCGAGGUGCCGAAGGGAAACCGUGAAACGUGCCGCCUGGGAAGUACGGUCGCAAGGCUGAAACUUAAAGGAAUUGGCGGGGGAGCACCACAACGGGUGGAGCCUGCGGUUUAAUUGGACUCAACGCCGGGAAGCUUACCGGAUAAGACAGCGGAAUGAUUGCCGGGCUGAAGACCCUGCAUGACCAGCUGAGAGGAGGUGCAUGGCCGUCGUCAGUUCGUACUGUGAAGCAUCCUGUUAAGUCAGGCAACGAGCGAGACCCACGCCAACAGUUGCCAGCAUGGUCUCCGGACUGAUGGGGACACUGUUGGGACCGCCUCUGCUAAAGAGGAGGAAGGAAUGGGCAACGGUAGGUCAGCAUGCCCCGAAUUAUCCGGGCUACACGCGGGCUACAAUGGGCAGGACAAUGGGUAUCGACACCGAAAGGUGAAGGCAAUCUCUUAAACCUGUCCUUAGUUCGGAUUGUGGGCUGCAACUCGCCCACAUGAAGCUGGAAUCUGUAGUAAUCGCGUUUCAAAAUAACGCGGUGAAUGUGUCCCUGCUCCUUGCACACACCGCCCGUCAAACCACCCGAGUGGGGUUUGGAUGAGGCCGCGGUCGUUGCCGCGGUCGAAUCUAGGUUCCGCAAGGGGGGUU
rnacentral:rRNA from 1 species